rnacentral:RNase_P_RNA from 1 species
AAAGUCGGUCAGGCAAUCGCUCUUUGUUUACAAAGGGAGGAAAGUCCGGGCUCCACAGGGCAAGGUGCCAGGUAACGCCUGGGAGGCGUGAGCCUACGGAAAGUGCCACAGAAAAUAUACCGCCUUCUUUGUGAAUAACAAAGAAGGUAAGGGUGAAAUGGUGCGGUAAGAGCGCACCGCGCGGCUGGUAACAGUCGUGGCAGGGAAAACCCCACCUGGAGCAAGACCAAAUAGAAAUCCAUCUUGCAUUUAUGCAAGAACGCACGGCCCGUGUGGGAUUUGGGUAGGUUGCUUGAGGCAUGUGGUGACACAUGUCCCAGAUGAAUGAUUGCCCGCGACAGAACCCGGCUUAUCGACCGACUUUUACC